GCGGGCAUGGUGCUGGGCGACGGCCCGGGGUCUGCAGUGAGAGGUCGCGUGGCGUCAGCGCCCAGCCGGAGGCACCCACGCCCCAUCCUCCCCGGCCCAGGCCAGUCAGGCAGGAGGCACAGGGACCGCAGCCCUGGCAGCCCAGAGCCCUGUCCUCAGUAGACCAGCAGGCCACCCCAGGGAAGGCAUUUCCAAGGGCAUGGUGGUGCGGACCUCAAUGAUGGCCGACAGAGGGAUGCUGACCUUGGGCCUGGAGGCCUAAGAGGCCAGGGGAAAGGUCUUGAGGGGUGAGCCCCACCUGGGCUGCCCCCCGCCUCACACCUCCUCCAGACCUGUGGUCUUCCCACUUUUGACCUUGACCCACAGUAAGAAAUGCACUUGACGCUGCAGCCCAGCAUGCACCUACCCAGUUCAUUAAAAAGAAGAAGAAGAAAAGCUGGCCUCCUGCUUCAGCUCCAGUGUCUCUCCCGGGGCCCCAGGAGCUCACUCUAUUAAAGUUUGUAUCCAGCCUGCAAAUGUGGGUUUCCUGGUGGCAACCCAAUGGCAGAGGCCAGCCCCACUGCUUCUUGGGUCCGCCAAGAAGAUCCUCAGCAGAGACCGGAAACGUGGAGCUUCCUGCUCUUGGACUUUCAGCCUCCAAAAUUGUGAUGAAGAAAUCUCUUUUCUUUAUCGAAUAUCUAGCUUCAGGGUACAGGGAGAAGCUCACCUUGGGCGGCACGAAGAACUCCAGGCGGAAGCGUUCCCCAGCAACCGCCCUGCGUAGGAGCAGGCGGCACUUCUGCCACUGCGCGGCGCCCCCAGGGCCUGUGGCUGCAUCGUCCGCCACCAUAAAGCGCAGCGCACCCUCGCGCUGAAUGUCCACCAGCUCCACCUUGGCCGCCAGAGUCCGCGAUAGCCGAAGGCGCCGUGUCCACUUGUCACGUGGCUCCGCAGGGGGCUCAGCGGCCCUCGGGGUGGCCCCAGCUUCGGGCUCAGGGGAGGCACGCCGGUGCCACAUGUCCCGCACACCGUCCACCACGCACAGGCUCAUGUUGCGCAGGGAGAAGCCCUUGCGGACCCGGGCCUUGGCCGCCACGUGCGCCGACACGUCCUCCGAGCUCCGCGAGUGGCCAUAGGCCGUAGUCUUGAGCGCUGAGGUCCCCACGGGCUCAGGCUCCAUGGCGUUGGCGCGCUCAGGGGUCCCCCGCGACGCUGGCCCUGCCACCAGCAUGCGGCGCACCUCCUCGCUGAAGACGUCCAGGAAGUUGGCGGUGAAGUGGCGGGAAAAGGAGGUCCCGGCGUCCGGCGUGUCGUAGGCCGGGUUGUCCCGCAAGAAGCGGCAAAACUUGUGCGCGAAGUCCACGGCGGCCACUUGCGCAUGCAGCUCGCAGAACUGCCGCCAGUCCGGGACAGGGACCGGGGUAGCGGCGGCGGCGCCAGGGUCGGCACCGUUCAUGGCUCCCGUCCCAUUGUGGUAUCCUGCAGCUGUGGGGACAAGAGCAGCAGUGACCUUCUGACCUCUGACCUGCGUGCCCAUCUGUCACCUCCUUUGGGCAGCAGGGCUCCCCAAGGCUGUGCAUGUGAGUGCUGCAGACUGCUGCCCUCAGCUGCUAGAGCAGCCGGGAAGCGUGAAGAGGAAGGAAACAGAGGACAACGUGGUGUCCCCAGGGAAGGGAGCCCCCACAUUCAUAUCCUUCCAAACAGCAAUCUCAGGGAACCCCAGGGUCAUUCCUGUGGUCUGCAGAGGAGGCUGGAGUGACAGAUGCCUUCAAGUGGGGCCCCUAUAAGCCUUCAGUGACCUCACUUUCCUCAGUAACCUCUUCUAAGGUCCCCAAAACCUGGUGGGCAAGAAGAAGUCACACACAAUCCAAUUGGCUCUGCCUCUGAAAUGGGCAGAGAGCCCAGCCAGCCCUUGGCCACUCCUCCACAGGCUUCCGAGUCCUUCCCAAGCCUGGCAUGGUGGCCUCUAAUUCCAGUGACGUCUUGGGAGGGCAAGGCAGGAAGACUGCAAGUUUGAGACCAGCCUCAGCCGCUUAGCAAGACCGUGUCUCAAAAUAAAAAAUAAAAAGGGCUGGGGAUGUGGCUCAGCGGUAGAGCUGCCCAGAGUUCAACCCCAAGUUCAGGGGGAGAAAAAGAAAAAUCCGUCCCUUGCCUGCAGUACUUCAGAGUGCCUUCACCUGUCCAGCGAGCCUGACCUCAGUCUCUAGUCUGCUUUCCACCAGGACCCCAGUCACCAUUAAAACACAGGACACAUUUGGUCCCUUUGCCCUCAAAUCCCACCAAAGCUGGGAGCAGAAGUCAGAGUCCUUCCCGGCUCCCCAGGCCUGGCAGCAGCUACUGCAUUUACCUCUGUAGACCCGCCUCCUGCUGCUUGCUCCUGGGUGCCUGCCUACUUGCCAUCCUGGAGGUGUGCUGGCUGGGUUCCCACCUCAGGGCCUUUGCUUGUGCCUUCAGUGUCCUCUCCCUCACAUCCUUUGGGGCUUUUCUAAUAUCAUUCUGCCCCACUGCCUGGCCUGGACACUCUAUUGAGAACAACAAAUGUUCCAUACUCUCCAGCACAGA